UACGUAGGGAGCAAGCGUUGUCCGGAAUCAUUGGGCGUAAAGCGCGCGUAGGCGGCCUCAUAAGUCCGUUGUGAAAGUCAAAGGCUCAACCUUUGAAAGCCGAUGGAUACUGUGAGGCUAGAGUACGGAAGAGGCGAGUGGAAUUCCUGGUGUAGCGGUGGAAUGCGCAGAUAGUCAGGAGGAACACCAAUAGCGAAGGCAGCUCGCUGGGACGUUACUGACGCUAAGGCGCGAAAGCGUGGGGAGCAAACAGG
rnacentral:rRNA from 1 species